rnacentral:rRNA from 1 species
GAUGAACGCUGGCGGCGUGCCUAAUACAUGCAAGUCGAGCGAACGGACGAGAAGCUUGCUUCUCUGAUGUUAGCGGCGGACGGGUGAGUAACACGUGGAUAACCUACCUAUAAGACUGGGAUAACUUCGGGAAACCGGAGCUAAUACCGGAUAAUAUUUUGAACUGCAUGGUUCAAAAGUGAAAGACGGUCUUGCUGUCACUUAUAGAUGGAUCCGCGCUGCAUUAGCUAGUUGGUAAGGUAACGGCUUACCAAGGCAACGAUGCAUAGCCGACCUGAGAGGGUGAUCGGCCACACUGGAACUGAGACACGGUCCAGACUCCUACGGGAGGCAGCAGUAGGGAAUCUUCCGCAAUGGGCGAAAGCCUGACGGAGCAACGCCGCGUGAGUGAUGAAGGUCUUCGGAUCGUAAAACUCUGUUAUUAGGGAAGAACAUAUAUGUAAGUAACUGUGCACAUCUUGACGGUACCUAAUCAGAAAGCCACGGCUAACUACGUG